GUGUCAGCCGCCGCGGUAAUACGUAGGGUGCGAGCGUUGUCCGGAAUUAUUGGGCGUAAAGAGCUCGUAGGCGGUUUGUUGCGUCGGCCGUGAAAACUUCACGCUUAACGUGGAGCUUGCGGUCGAUACGGGCAGACUUGAGUUCGGUAGGGGAGACUGGAAUUCCUGGUGUAGCGGUGAAAUGCGCAGAUAUCAGGAGGAACACCGGUGGCGAAGGCGGGUCUCUGGGCCGAUACUGACGCUGAGGAGCGAAAGCGUGGGGAGCGAACAGGAUUAGAAACCCUCGUAGUCC
rnacentral:rRNA from 1 species